rnacentral:rRNA from 1 species
CAGUAGCCGCGGGAAUACGUAGGGUGCGAGCGUUAAUCGGAAUUACUGGGCGUAAAGCGUGCGCAGGCGGUUUUGUAAGACAGGCGUGAAAUCCCCGGGCUUAACCUGGGAAUGGCGCUUGUGACUGCAAAGCUAGAGUGCGGCAGAGGGGGAUGGAAUUCCGCGUGUAGCAGUGAAAUGCGUAGAUAUGCGGAGGAACACCGAUGGCGAAGGCAAUCCCCUGGGCCUGCACUGACGCUCAUGCAUGAAAGCGUGGGGAGCAAACAGGAUUAGAUACCCGUGUAGUCCCUGUCUCUUAUAC